CCUACGGGUGACAGCAGUGGGGGAUAUUGGACAAUGGGGGAAACCCUGAUCCAGCGACGCCGCGUGAGUGAAGAAGUAUUUCGGUAUGUAAAGCUCUGUCAGCAGGGAAGAAAGAAAUGACGGUACCUGACCAAGAAGCCCCGGCUAACUACGUGCCAGCAGCCGCGGUAAUACGUAGGGGGCAAGCGUUAUCCGGAAUUACUGGGUGUAAAGGGAGCGUAGACGGUGAUGCAAGUCUGGAGUGAAAGGCGGGGGCUCAACCCUCGGACUGCUGUUGAAACUGUGUAACUUGAGUGCAGGAGAGGUAAGCGGAAUUCGUGGUGUAGCGGUGAAAUGCGUAGAUAUUACGAGGAACACCAGUGGCGAAGGCGGCUUACUGGACUGUAACUGACGUUGAGGCUCGAAAGCGUGGGUAGCAAACAGGAUUAGAUACCCUGGUAGUC
rnacentral:rRNA from 1 species